UUCAAAUCCCUUAAAAAGACG
ensembl:piRNA 21ur-13015 ncRNA